rnacentral:lncRNA from 1 species
AGGCCGAGUUGGAGGAGUGGCCGGGACAUCCGGUCACCGCUGGACGUCAGGACACUUGGCUGGAGCGGAUCUCCCAGGUGACUCUGUCCCCCUCCAGGCCCAGCUGGCAGACAGGAGACGGAGGCUCCUGAGGGCCGCAGCCUGGCUCCUGCUCUUUGCUCUCCCCCUGCAGAGUCGGGACCUCGGCAGGAGAAUCGGCUUCCUCCUCCUCCUCAGGGGCCAGGAGCAGGUCAGGGCUUCCCCAAGGGACCAGGACCAGUCCUCGCCCUGGCCCUGUGCUGGCCACAGAGAAGGAGCCGCUGGGUUCUGGCAGAGGAGACCCUGGCUGGAGGGACCCUCCCACCCUGCUGCUCUCCCUUGGGGUGAGGGCUCCUGGGGGCGCAGGCCACGUCCCCUCUCUGGGCCCUGUGCUGGUGGGGGCUCCGUCAGAGGACAGCUGGAAGCCCUCCCUGGGGGUGGAGAAGCCUGGUUCAGGCCGGGCGGUGGGCAGAGGGCCUGGCCUGGCUCUGGCCUCAGGCCCACACUGGCUCAGCUAGCGGUGCCCUGUCUGCUGGGCGCCGGGGCCCGCUCUGCCCUCACUGGGGACGAGGCAGAUCCACAGCCACAGGCCUGCUGGAACCCAGAUCCCAGUGCUUCCGCCCGGCAGGACCCCAGCCCACCACGCCUAGCAGUGAC